rnacentral:rRNA from 1 species
GUUGGGCCUGCUCGGUGAGAAGAAAAAUUUAACAGCUGCGGUAUUAUAACUGUACUAAGGUAGCAUAAUAAUUUGCCUUAUAAAUUAAGGCUAGAAUGAAUGGUUUGACGAAAAUUAGACUGUCUUUAUUUUAUUUGUUAGAAAUUAAUUUUUAUAGUGAAAAAGCUUGAAUAAUUUAAGGGGACGAGAAGACCCUAUUGAGCUUUAUUUAUUAAUAUUUAAAUAUAAAUAUAUAAUUUAUAUUAUGAAAAUUAUGUUGUAUAUAUAUAUAUUUAAUUGAUUUAAUUUUGAUUGGGGUGAUCAAGGAAUAAAGAUAAAGUAACUUCCUUAAAAUUAAUGAUUGUUUUUAUAGAGUAAUAAACCAAGUUUUUUGCUUAUAAGAUAAGUUACCAUAGGGGUAACAGCGUAAUUUUUUUUGAGAGUUCAUAUUGAAAAAAGAGAUUGCGACCUCGAUGUUGGAUUAAAAAUUACCUUAAGG